rnacentral:rRNA from 1 species
AACGAACGCUGGCGGCAGGUCUUAGGCAUGCAAGUCGAACGUGUGUAGCAAUACAUCAGUGGCGCACGAGUGAGUAACGCGUGGGAAGCUGCCCUUCACUGGGGAAUAACGUUUGGAAACGAACGCUAAUACCGCAUACGCCGGAAACGGGAAAGAUUUAUCGGUGAAGGAUGAGCCCGCGUUGGAUUAGCUUGUUGGUGGGGUAACGGCAUACCAAGGCGAUGAUCCAUAGCUGGUCUGAAAGGACGAUCAGCCACGCUGGAACUGAGACACGGUCCAGACUCCUACGGGAGGCAGCAGCUAAGAAUAUUGGGCAAUGGAGGAAACUCUGACCCAGCCAUGCCGCGUGAAUGAAGAAGGCCUUCGGGUUGUAAAGUUCUUUUAGACGUGAAGAUGAUGACAGUAGCGACAGAAAAAGCACCGGCUAACUUCGUGCCAGCAGCCGCCGUAA